UGGCUCAGUUGGUAGAGCAGCUGAUUCGUAAUCAGCAGGUCGUGGGUUCAAGUCCCAUCUUCA
rnacentral:tRNA from 1 species